AGGGGCUGUUAUAACCGUGUUGCUAACACGCAUAAACCAGACACCAUACUCUGGCACCCUU
rnacentral:tRNA from 1 species